rnacentral:rRNA from 1 species
UACGUAGGGAGCAAGCGUUGUCCGGAAUUACUGGGUGUAAAGGGCGAGUAGGCGGGACAAAAAGUCAGAUGUGAAAACUAUGGGCUCAACCCAUAGCCUGCAUUUGAAACUUUUGUUCUUGAGAGAUGGAGAGGUAAGCGGAAUUCCUAGUGUAGCGGUGAAAUGCGUAGAUAUUAGGAGGAACACCAGUGGCGAAGGCGACUUCCUGGACUGUAACUGACACUGAGGCACGAAAGCGUGGGGAGCAAACAGGAUUAGAUACCCCGGUAGUCCCU